UACGUAGGGUGCAAGCGUUUGUCCGGAAUUAUUGGGCGUAAAGAGCUCGUAGGCGGUCUGUCGCGUCGGAUGUGAAAAUCCAGGGCUUAACCCUGGGCCUGCAUUCGAUACGGGCAGACUAGAGUUCGGUAGGGGGAGACUGGAAUUCCUGGUGUAGCGGUGAAAUGCGCAGAUAUCAGGAGGAACACCGAUGGCGAAGGCAGGUCUCUGGGCCACUACUGACGCUGAGAAGCGAAAGCAUGGGGAGCGAACAGG
rnacentral:rRNA from 1 species